CCUUUUCUUCCAUCUCUUCUAUCCCCAAGGCUCUGUGACUGUCAAUUUGGGAAUGGGGGAGGGGGCAGUUUAGGACUGGGGUGGAUUUUCAGAAGAACAUCUAUAAUAUCCUAUUUAUAUAAGUCUUCCUCUGGGGAAAAGGAGUGGUUUCUGGCUCAAUCCUAUCUCAGACUCAAGGAGAAACAAAAUAAAGAUUCCAGGCGGCCUGGGCUAUAGCCUGUCUUUUAAGAAAUGGGGCUGGUAGAAGCUGUUUAUCACUUGGAGAGCAUACAAACUCUGGCCCUCUCUUCCGUGGGUCUUUGGCUCCUGGGGAGAUGAUUUCUGCCUUCUAAGAAGGCAGGCCACGUCUCAGGCACAGACCAGAUUUGUUGACCUUGCACUCCAACUACAGUGCCUUACAAGUGCUCAACAGUACACAUUGGAAUGAAGUCCCCAUGAGAGCCAUUACUGACCAUGUCCUAUACCUCAAAGUGAGGCUGGCAGGUGCAGAGAUGGACUGCACACAACUGGUACCUUUAAGUCAUCAGGAAGACCCCUGUGCUUGAAAAUCUUUCCUCUACAUCAUACCUGAAGUCCCAUCAUAACCCUCCAUUUCCUUGGCUUUAGCAUUUCCAUUCUCCUAUAAAUACCUUUUCCUGGGAGGAGUAGCACACUAGUUUUCUCUUGAUGUGAACGAGAUGCCAGGCCCUUUUCUCCUGUGCAUGCCAGGAUGGACAAAGCAGAGGACACUGGAGGCCAGCAUCUUCCUCUCUGAUGGGCUCACAGCUGGCCCUACUCUCUCGCUGUCCACUGCUUUGUUCCUUACCUUGCUGAUGUGGCUUGACCUCCUCUGUUCGCUCUACUGCCAGUGUUCUCCCAGGGUUGCCAGUGCCCUUCUUGUGCUAAAUCUGGCAGGCCCUUUCAUAUCUCCUCUUCCUGGGUCUCGGCAGCACCUGACAGGGCUGAUCACUUCCUGCUUCUUGAGUCACAUUUCCCUGGAACUUCUGUGGCUUAUUUUCCUAUCCUUCUGGCUGCUCCGUUCAAUUUCCUAUGCAGACCUCUCCACUCACCCACGCACAAUGGGGUCUCUCAGGGUUCUGUUGUGGGCUCCAUGGGGAAGCCCAACAAUGUUGAUGGCUUAAAGGACUCUAUCGAGGAAUCGAGAGUUGACCACCAGCCCCAAUGUCCCUCUUGAUCUGAACCACAGUUCUGCUGCUUUCUGGGUGCACAGACAACUGAAGUUCAUGGCUCAGAUGGCACUUGUUGCUGUCCUCUGCAAACCUGACCCUUUUGGGUACCUGCCUUGGCCCCAAGCUCACUCAGGAGCCAAGCAGGAAACCUGCUUUCUAUUCCUGCUUUCUCUUUCUGCCCCCAACAUCCAGCCUCUAAAAACUGUCAAGUCUAUCUUCUUAACAACUCUUGUCUUGAGCCACUCCCACUGGCAUCACCUUUCACCAGGAUUAUUGUGACAGCUUCCUGCUGCUUCUCUAUCCCAUGGCUGGAGUUGUCUUUCUCAAAUGCACAGUUGAUCAAGUCACUCCUGGCCUAAAACCUUCCAUGGCUCCCCACUGCCCUUAGGGUAAAGUCCAUACCCCUUAGCCUGGCUCAUGAGACUCGUGGUGUCCUGGUUUCACCUCUCUGACCUCAUCACUUGCCUCUUGCACUCUGGGUCCCAGCCUUCUGUUUCCAGAGAUGCCAUGGCUCUCUCUUGCCACUUUGAUUCCUCUUUCUUCUGCUCACCUCAGUACUUUCUCUGUCAAGUCUCCAGCUUAGAUUUCACUUCCUCCUGGGAGCUUUGGAUGUCCCCUGUCCUCCCACAACUCCACCCCAUCACACCACACAUUUCACUCUAGUCUUACUCGCCUGCUUUAUGGUCUGUUUCCCCAUUAGACUGUAAGCUCCUUGAGGGCAAGGACUGUCCUUGAAUUUUUGUAUCAACAGUGUCUGGCUUGCUGCCUGGCACCUAGAAAGCACUCAAUAAAUGUUUGUUAAAUGAAA